rnacentral:misc_RNA from 1 species
GAUGAAGAACGCAGCGAAAUGCGAUAAGUAGUGUGAAUUGCAGAAUUCAGUGAAUCAUCGAAUCUUUGAACGCACAUUGCGCCCCUUGGUAUCCCGAGGGGCAUGCCUGUUCGAGCGUCAUUUCACUACUCAAGCCUGGCUUGGUGUUGGGCGACGUCCCCUUUGGGGACGCGCCUCGAAACGCUCGGCGGCGUGGCACCGGCUUUAAGCGUAGCAGAAUCUUUCGCUUUGGAAGUCGGGGCCCCGUCUGCCGGAAGACCUACUCGCAAGGUUGACCUCGGAUCAGGCAGGGAUACCCGCUGAACUCAAGCAUAUCAAUAAGCGGAGGA